UACGAAGGGGGCUAGCGUUACUCGGAUUGACUGGGCGUAAAGGGCGCGUAGGCGGAUGGUACAGUCAGACGUGAAAUUCCUGGGCUCAACCUGGGGGCUGCGUUUGAUACAUGCUGUCUGGAGUUCGGAAGAGGGUCGUGGAAUUCCCAGUGUAGAGGUGAAAUUCGUAGAUAUUGGGAAGGAACACCGGUGGCGAAGGCGGCGACCUGGUCCGAUACUGACGCUGAGGCGCGAAAGCGUGGGGAGCAAACAGG
rnacentral:rRNA from 1 species